CCCUAGCCCGGAUUGCAGUGGAAAUCCUUUUUUGUUGCCAUGAGAUUUCUCCCGAUGGUCGAAAUAAAACGCAACAAAAAAGAUUGCAACGAAAAGCCGGAAACAGC
rnacentral:sRNA from 1 species